AGGCUACAGUCCAGGGGGUCACCAAGAGUCAGACUCGACUGAGUGAGCACACACUCACACACAAAGUGCAUUCAGAAAAACAAAACAUAGAUACAUAGCUACUUGCAGCAGCAGAGUAGGGAGGAGAGGGAAGUAGAGAGAAAGGGGAACUUCUCUACGCACCAGCCACUAUGCUAAACCUUAGGCACACGCCAUUUUGCCUGAUCCUUACAACUAUACCACGAGGCAGCCAUCAGUGUACCAGCUUUUUGUCCCGAAGACUUAGCUUUGCCACCUCUGGGCUGCCUCAGAUUUUAAACCUGCCAGUGACUGGAGAAGGCACCAGACGUGGGUUACCAGCCCUCUCCUAAAAAUAUCAAGGAACAGGGGCUGUUUCUGCUGCCUUACACCUUUCACGGCUCACCUCGCCAGGUUCAAAGGAGAGACUUCAUAGAAGUAAGAAAGCAGGGAGGAGAACAUGGCUGUCCCUCUACAUAGAGCCCCCUCAUUGACGGAGGAAGGAACUGGAGCCCAGAGUGGUAAAGUCCCUCAUCCAAGGCCACUCAAGACUUUGCAGAAGGACCAAGGUAAAAUCUGAACCACUGGCCCAGCCAGCUCCCGCCACAUCACCAACUGUGGCUGACCCUAAGCCCCAAAAGGCACUCUGAGCUUGGCCAGAGGCAUGACGCGGACAAAGUCAAGACUGUUAACAGAAG
rnacentral:lncRNA from 1 species